UACAGAGGUCUCAAGCGUUGUUCGGAUUCAUUGGGCGUAAAGGGUGUGUAGGUGGCGCCGUAAGUCGGGUGUGAAAUUUCGGAGCUUAACUCCGAAACUGCAUUCGAUACUGCGGUGCUUGAGGACUGGAGAGGAGACUGGAAUUCAUGGUGUAGCAGUGAAAUGCGUAGAUAUCUGGAGGAACACCGGUGGCGAAGGCGGCAUUCUGGACCGAUAUUGACGCUGAGGAGCGAAAGCCAGGGGAGCAAACGGG
rnacentral:rRNA from 1 species